CUGAAGCUAGCGAACAAUAACUAGCGAACAAUAAGCCAGCGAACAAUAAGGCGAUAUAUCUAACAACCGAAAAAAUGAAUAAGACAGCAACGGCCGUUAAAUGAAAAAUAUUUAAAAAGUCAGACAUUCCGUCCAAAUAUUGCAAUUUCAACUCUAUCAUGAAAUGGUAUUUAUCCCAUCCAUUGAUGAAACAAGUCACAACUCUAUUUAGGCUAAUAUUCAGUACCACAGUAAAUCUGCAUCUGUCAACGGAUUAUUUGUAGUUGUAAAACCACCUAUGCACCCACUUCCAUUUAGAACGUAUGUAAAAGUAGUCCUUCCCUGUAAAAUACAACACCUUUGAUGUCAUUGUUUAAUUGAACUAAGAUACACAUUUGCAGAAAUGGGGGUUGGCCUAUUCCAUGGCUUCUACAGAAAAAUAAUGAGGGGUGUCACGGGGUAUGACUAUAUAGGUCUUGUAAAAGAGAAACAGGCGCAUCUUUUGCGCAAGGUAUCGAAGGGCGCUAUGUUCAAAAAUCUGAAACUAGAGCUCAAAUUUAAAAAAAAAAAUUGUUAAAAACAGGGGGGUUGGCCUAUUCCAUGGCUUCUAGAGAAAAAUAAUGAGGGGUGUCACGGGGUAUGACUAUAUAGGUCUUGUAGAGGAGAAACAGGCGCAUCUUUUGCGCAAGGUAUCGAAGGGCGCUACGUUCAAAAAUCUGAAACUAGAGCUCUAAAUUUAAAAAAAAAUUGUUAAAAACAGGGGGGUUGGUCUAUUCCAUGGCUUCUAGAGAAAAAUAAUGAGGGGUGUCACGGGGUAUGACUAUAUAGGUCUUGUAGAAGAGAAACAGGCGCAUCUUUUGCGCAAGGUAUCGAAGGACGCUAUGUUCAAAAAUCUGAAACUAGAGCUCAAAAUUAAAAAAAAAAAAUUGUUAAAAACAGGGGGUUUGGUCUAUUCCCUGGCUUCUAGAGAAAAAUAAUGAGGGGUGUCACGGGAUAUGACUAUAUAGGUCUUGUAGAGGAGAAACAGGCGCAUCUUUUGCGCAAGGUAUCGAAGGGCGCUAUGUUGAAAAAUCUGAAACUAGAGCUAAAAAUUAAAAAAAAAAAUUGUUAAAAACAGGGGGGUUUGUCUAUUCCAUGGCUUCUGGAGAAAAAUAAUGAGGGGUGUCACGGGGUAUGACUACAUAGGUCUUGUAGAAGAGAAACAGGCGCAUCUUUUGCGCAAGGUAUCGAAGGGCGCUAUGUUCAAAAAUCUGAAACUAGAGCGAUAAUUUGAAAAAAAAAUGUAAAAACAGGGGGAUUGGCCUAUUCCAUGGCUUCUACAGAAAAAUAAUGAGGGGUGUCACGGGGUAUGACUAUAUAGGUCUUGUAGAGGAGAAACAGGCGCAUCUUUUGCGCAAGGUAUCGAAGGCGCUAUGUUCAAAAAUCUGAAACUAGAGCUCUAAAUUUAAGAAAAAAAAUUGUUAAAAACAGGGGGGUUGGUCUAUUCCAUGGCUUCUAGAGAAAAAUAAUGAGGGGUGUCACGGGGUAUGACUAUAUAGGUCUUGUAGAGGAGAAACAGGCGCAUCUUUUGCGCAAGGUAUCGAAGGGCGCUAUGUUCAAAAAUCUGAAACUAGAGCUCUAAAUUUAAAAAAAAAAUUGUUAAAAACAGGGGGGUUGGUCUAUUCCAUGGCUUCUAGAGAAAAAUAAUGAGGGGUGUCACGGGGUAUGACUAUAUAGGUCUUGUAGAAGAGAAACAGGCGCAUCUUUUGCGCAAGGUAUCGAAGGACGCUAUGUUCAAAAAUCUGAAACUAGAGCUCAAAAUUAAAAAAAAAAAAUUGUUAAAAACAGGGGGUUUGGUCUAUUCCCUGGCUUCUAGAGAAAAAUAAUGAGGGGUGUCACGGGAUAUGACUAUAUAGGUCUUGUAGAGGAGAAACAGGUGCAUCUCUUGCGCAAGGUAUCGAAGGGCGCUAUGUUAAAAAAUUUGAAACUAGAGCGAUAAUUUGAAAAAAAAAUGUAAAAACAGGGGGAUUGGCCUAUUCCAUGGCUUCUACAGAAAAAUAAUGAGGGGUGUCACGGGGUAUGACUAUAUAGGUCUU